AACCCGAGGCCUAAGAAAAAAAUUUGGAGCUUCAGCCGCAAAGACCAAAAAUGAAAAAGUUAUCCUCUCAAGAAUGAAAAUCAGCUGCUAGACCUAGGGACUUGAAGCUGUCCGCCAUUUCCCAUCACAAAUACGAGACCCCCACUCCUUUGGAUCAUUUUUUUGAUUCCAACAAAACCAGACCAUCAGCUAUACGAAUCCGAAAUCAACCGUUCGUCCUCCAAAACCAGCACUCGUCGUUGAACUGCCGUGUGAUUCAAAUCCUAGCUGGUUUCGGUUUUAGUUAUUGGAAAAAGAGGGGUUUGAGUUGAGGACGACGAUGGCGUAGUUGAGUUCCGACGGGGUUUUGAGGUUUCGUGGAGGUUCUCGGUUAUUAGCGGCUAAGAAAGGUGUAUGCUCAAGUUCAUUUUGAAAAGGCUUCUAAAGGAGCCACUCCGAGCUAUGAGGAAGCUAAAGAGUGUUUUGGAGUCAAUAUGUGGAAGGCCAAUCGGAGGUUAGCGCGGUUGAAAAGGAGAAAGAAAAUCAAGUGGGAAAGUCCCCUCCAGGUGCCCGGUGCAGAUUGAACCGCGGAUUGGCCGCGUACUGAGGCAGAAUACUGGGCAAGAUCCGCGGUCCAAUCUGCGGCCGCGGACAAGCUGACGAAAGCCAAUAACCCAGGGUCAAUUAAGUAAUUUCCAAGACGACUAACCUAAACCUAUAUGAAGCCUAAUUCGCCCAGAAGAGAAGGAUAGCUGUGUUUAGAGAGAUUUUGAAGGCAAGAACACGGGAGAAAGACAGAGAAUUUCCUUAGAGUUUUCAUCUUCUUCUUUUUAAUUCCAUUGUUGAUUAUGACUUUCUAUAGUGAAUUUUCAUCUAUUAGUAUGAGUAGCUAAACCCGUCAUCUAGGGUUGAUGGAACCAAUUGUUGGAUAAAAUCUUGACUCUGUUUUGAUAUAAUUGGGACGUUUUUUCUCUAUGAUUGU